AGUUUGAUCCUGGCGUCAGAGUGAACGCUGGCGGUAGGCCUAACACAUGCAAGUCGAACGGCAGCACAGGAGAGCUUGCUCUCUGGGUGGCGAGUGGCGGACGGGUGAGGAAUACAUCGGAAUCUACUCUGGUCGUGGGGGAUAACGUAGGGAAACUUACGCUAAUACCGCAUACGACCUACGGGUGAAAGCAGGGGAUCUUCGGACCUUGCGCGAUUGAAUGAGCCGAUGUCGGAUUAGCUAGUUGGCGGGGUAAAGGCCCACCAAGGCGACGAUCCGUAGCUGGUCUGAGAGGAUGAUCAGCCACACUGGAACUGAGACACGGUCCAGACUCCUACGGGAGGCAGCAGUGGGGAAUAUUGGACAAUGGGCGCAAGCCUGAUCCAGCCAUACCGCGUGGGUGAAGAAGGCCUUCGGGUUGUAAAGCCCUUUUUGUUGGGAAAGAAAUCCAGCCGGCUAAUACCUGGUUGGGAUGACGGUACCCAAAGAAUAAGCACCGGCUAACUUCGUG
rnacentral:rRNA from 1 species